AACAGCGUGUCAAACAUUGAAAUCGUAAUUUACUCUCUCUCCUCUCCUCUUCUAUUCUAUCUCUCUCCUCACUUCUCUCUUCUAUCUCUCUCCUCUCUCUUCCUCUUCUCUCUCUCUCAACAGGAGGACAUAGUAGUAUCUCUCUUUCAUUUCUAUCAAGUGGAGGAUAUCAACUCAUUCAUUAUCUUUUCCUUUCUCUCUCUUUUUUCUUCUUUUCAUUCAACAGAAAAUAAGAGAGAUCGUCUUUUCACUUCUGGAGAGAGGGAGAAAGAGCUUUAAUGGCUAAGUUGGUCUUCUCGGACUGUAGCAUGAUAAGAACCCACCCCAGAAUAUGCACCACUCCCAGAUCCAAGUUCCUCUCUAUCAACAAUAAACACAAUCUAGAGAUUUCGAUCUGGCUUGAGUCUACAUAGAUGCAUGAUCCUAUGUUCUGGCGAUCAACCACGGGGUGAGGCCGGAUCUGAUGGACUUGCUCGUCGAAGCCAGGGAAGCUUGCUCAAACUCCCCAAGGACCGAUGAUGAAGGAUACACCAAAGCAGAUUGGGGGGGAUGGGAAAAGGAGAGACGUUCUUGAUUGGAAUAUUUGUUUCGAUCUCUCGAAGGGUGGUUUUCAAGAAAUGGCCUUCUCUACCACCAUUAGGUAAAAUAAGCUUUCCGAUCUUCUUUUUACCUUUUUAUUUGUUUUGUUCCUCUAUUAAUCUUUACUUUGUGAUUCGAUUAUAUAAAAUUAAGUUACCCCUCUAUCCACUAUUCUUCUUCUUCUUCAUGGGUUUAGAUUACUAGCUAUCGUAGCUAGGAUCUUAUUAGGGAUCUUAAAAUCAUGUUUAUGCAGAGUUUUAAUUUUUGAACAUGUUGUUAAGAUAUGCAAUCAGUCAAACCUGAUGUCUUUUUUUAAACAGAUGCACAAUUAUUUAAUUUAAUGUUUAUAUUAUCAAAAACAUUUUCUCUUAACGUAUUUACCAAAUUAGGUUUUGUUUUUGUUCACUAUCUAAUUACACGUAAAAUAGUACCGUAUAUUUUGAUUCAAAAUUAAAAAAAAUACGUUUUUAUUUUAUUUUAAAUUUGAUUCUUGGCAUGUUUGGUUUAUAAAUUAUAUACCCAAAAUGUUUUUGAACUGUUUUAAGCCUUAUUCUAUCUAUCAUAAGUGUGCGUUACCGGGAUCGAUAGUAAAAGCCUAUAACAAAGCCUGGCCCAUAAUUUUGUUGUAGGGAAACCCUAAGUUCCUGACCCUUAAGUGUACUUCUCCUCGGAUUCAGUGCUAACUAAGAGAGAACACUUUUUGGUUCUCAGAGAUCUCUAGUUUUCUUAUUAACAUUCUUGAAAGUCAAAUCUCUCUAUUAUUCUUACGUCAUAAUUUCCCUUGAUAUAUAUAGAGAGCGUUUUUUCUAUGAGAACAUGACUUCUGUUCUUCCAAAUUUUUGUUUGGGGAGAUGAUGUUUUUGAUCCCCUUGAAUUUGAUAUGUAUGCAUAGAUCCUUUUGGCAAUGUCUUUGAUUCGUUUGAAUAACCUUUUUUCGUAGUUCCUUAGGAUUAUACAGAUCUUUGUAAUUCUGUAGAUUAGAUCUUUGUAGUUUGUACGUAUAAGAGGUCUUAUUCUAUAGAUGAUUUUUGUUCUGUUUUUUUUUGAUCCGUUUAAUUAUUUAGGUUUACAUAGAGAUUACUUAGGCAGCACCAACAUAAUCUCUACAAUAGGCAUCAGUAUUACACUAUUACUACGUAUACAUAUGUUUUUGUUCUGUUUUUUUCUUUUUUUUUUUUUGAUCCGUUUAAUUAUUUAGCUCUUAGGUACUUAGGCAGCACCAAUAUAAUCUCUAUGAAUUUAAAUUCCACACACUAGACUAACUAUGAAUUUAUCCUCAAAUUCCACACACUAGACUAACUAUGAAUUACAUUGAUCAGUAGAAAUAUAUAUAAACUGGGCAACUGGCCCAAAAAAAUAAAUGAUUUGUUGUUUUCAACAUAGCCCAUUUGGCAAUCUCAAUUGUUGGAAGUGAGUAAAACGUCAUCGUUUGUGGGACUGGGACUAAGCUGAGGGGAGAAAUAGGGUUUCGUGACGCCUUUGGUAGAGGCGAUCGAUUGAUUCUGCUCGUGAUUUGGAGGCGAUCGAGCAUUCUUCUCUUCAGUGACUGUCUGCAAGCACAAUGUCUCACCACCUUGGUCGCUUCUUCCAGUGUCCCAAGUGCUGCUGCUCUCCCAAGCCUUGCCUCUACAAGCCUGAUGCCUUGGAUGCAUUUAGGGCUGAUUUCGAGAAAUACAAGGCCCAGACAAAGCUAGCCAACCAUGUUACUAAUGUGCAGGUGCAUAUGUUCUUCCUUGGAUACCUUGGCUCACAUUCCAUUGAAUAUUGGCAGUAUCAGAAAGCUGCAGACCACCCGUACCUGAAUUCUUUUCUGAAAGAAUUCAGAAAAUCUUUACAUUAAGUAUCUGGAGAACUUUGUGCUAGCUGUGGAACUUGUUUGUUUGUCCUAUGUUAAGAAUCUUUUAUGAGACCUAUGUUUCUGUUUGAGAAGUUUGAGUAUCUUGAAAACCCUAUGUUUGUUGUGGAACCCUGUUUGUAGGGAUUAAUAUGGCUUUAUGAGACUUUGAUCUGUGGUUUUAGAAGUUGUUCGCUGCUUUCUAAA